CACGUAGGGCGCAAGCGUUAUCCGGAAUGAUUGGGCGUAAAGCGUCUGUAGGUGGCUUUUUAAGUCCGCCGUCAAAUCCCAGGGCUUCAACCCUGGACAGGCGGUGGAAACUACCAAGCUGGAGUACGGUAGGGGCAGAGGGAAUUUCCGGUGGAGCGGGUGAAAUGCGUAGAGAUCGGAAAGAACACCAACGGCGAAAGCAACUCUGCUGGGACCGACACUGACACUGAGAGACGAAAGCUAGGGGAGCGAAUGGG
rnacentral:rRNA from 1 species